rnacentral:rRNA from 1 species
AGGUUAAGGACUUAAGGUCCGGAGCCGAAGUGAAAGCAAGCGUUAAGAGCGCGGUAAGUCAGUGAGUGCAGACCCGAAACCGGGUGACCUAUCCAUGUCCAGGUUGAAGCUUCCGUAAGAGGAAGUGGAGGACCGAACCCACAUCCGUUGAAAAGGGUGGGGAUGAGGUGUGGAUAGCGGAGAAAUUCCAAUCGAACCCGGAGAUAGCUGGUUCUCCUCGAAAUAGCUUUAGGGCUAGCCUCAUGAGAGUCUUAUGGAGGUAGAGCACUGAAUUGCCUAGGGGGCGUCAAAGCUUACCAAAGCAUAUCAAACUCCGAAUGCCAUCAAGAUGAUUCAUGGGAGUCAGACCAUACGAGAUAAGUUGGAUGGUCAAAAGGGAAAGAGCCCAGACCUACAGCUAAGGUCCCAAAGUGCGUGUUAAGUGGAAAAGGAUGUGGGGAUUCUAAGACAACUAGGACGUUGGCUUAGAAGCAGCCAUUCAUUGAAAGAGUGCGUAAUAGCUCACUAGUCGAGAGUCCCUGCGCCGAAAAUGUCCGGGGCUGAAACACGACACCGAAGCUUAGGAAUGUGUAAACAUUGGUAGAGGAGCAUUGCU